rnacentral:rRNA from 1 species
CUACGUAGGGGGCGAGCGUUGUCCGGAAUUACUGGGCGUAAAGGGCGCGUAGGCGGUCUAAUAAGUCAGAUGUGAAAUUCUUGGGCUUAACUCAGGAUGUGCAUUUGAAACUGUUGGACUUGAGGACAGGAGAGGAAAGCGGAAUUCCCAGUGUAGCGGUGAAAUGCGUAGAUAUUGGGAGGAACACCAGUGGCGAAGGCGGCUUUCUGGACUGCCCCUGACGCUGAGGCGCGAAAGCCAGGGUAGCGAACGGGAUUAGAUACCCCGGUAGUCCUGGCCGUAAACGAUGGAUACUAGGUGUGGGAGGUAUCGACCCCUUCCGUGCCGUAGCCAACGCACUAAGUAUCCCGCCUGGGGAGUACGGCCGCAAGGCUGAA